GAAGGCUUUCUGAGUCGUAAACUGCUUUUGACAGGGAAGAAUAAGCAUCACGUGUGAUGCGAUGACGGUACCUGCAGAAUAAGCACCGGCUAACUCCGUGCCAGCAGCCGCGGUAAUACGGAGGGUGCGAGCGUUGUCCGGAUUUAUUGGGUUUAAAGGGUGCGUAGGCGGCUUUUUAAGUCUGGGGUGAAAGCCCGCUGCUCAACAGCGGAACUGCCCUGGAUACUGGAGAGCUUGAGUACAGACGAGGUUGGCGGAAUGGACUGAGUAGCGGUGAAAUGCAUAGAUACAGUCCAGAACCCCGAUUGCGAAGGCAGCUGACUAGGCUGUUACUGACGCUGAGGCACGAAAGCGUGGGGAGCGAACAGGAUUAGAUACCCUGGUAGUCCACGCCGUAAACGAUGGAUACUCGCUGCGAGCUAAAGAUUGUUCGUGGCUUAGGGAAACCGAUAAGUAUCCCACCUGGGGAGUACGCUCGCAAGAGUGAAACUCAAAGGAAUUGACGGAAUCACUA
rnacentral:rRNA from 1 species